AGCCGGUUAGCUCAGUCGGUUGAGCAUGGUGCUGACAACACCAAGGUCACAGGUUUGAUUCCUAUAUUUGAUU
rnacentral:tRNA from 1 species